rnacentral:tRNA from 1 species
UCCCCGGUGGUCCAGUGGUUAAGACUCAACGCUCCCAAUGCAGGAUGCCCAGGUUCGAUGCCUGGUCAGGGAA